AUUGAACGCUGGCGGCAUGCCUUACACAUGCAAGUCGAACGGCAGCACGGGAGCAAUCCUGGUGGCGAGUGGCGAACGGGUGAGUAAAGUAUCGGAACGUGCCCAGUCGUGGGGGAUAACGUAGCGAAAGUUACGCUAAUACCGCAUACGAUCUAUGGAUGAAAGCGGGGGAUCGCAAGACCUCGCGCGAUUGGAGCGGCCGAUAUCAGAUUAGGUAGUUGGUGGGGUAAAGCCCCACCAAGCCGACGAUCUGUAGCUGGUCUGAGAGGACGACCAGCCACACUGGGACUGAGACACGGCCCAAACUCCGACGGAGGGCAGCAGGGGGGAAUUUGGACAAUGGGCGAACGCCUGAUCCAGCCAUGCCGCGUGCAGGAUGAAGGCCUUCGGGUUGUAAACUGCUUUUGUACGGAACGAAAAGGACUGCCCUAAUACGGUGGUCCCAUGACGUUACCGUAAGAAUAAGCACCGGCUAACUACGUGCCAGCCGCCGCCGUAA
rnacentral:rRNA from 1 species